rnacentral:rRNA from 1 species
CGUAACAAGGUCUCCGUUGGUGAACCAGCGGANGNAUCAUUACCGAGUUUACAACUCCCAAACCCCUGUGAACAUACCAAUUGUUGCCUCGGCGGAUCAGCCCGCUCCCGGUAAAACGGGACGGCCCGCCAGAGGACCCCUAAACUCCGUUUCUAUAUGUAACUUCUGAGUAAAACCAUAAAUAAAUCAAAACUUUCAACAACGGAUCUCUUGGUUCUGGCGUCGAUGAAGAACGCAGCAAAAUGCGAUAAGUAAUGUGAAUUGCAGAAUUCAGUGAAUCAUCGAAUCUUUGAACGCACAUUGCGCCCGCCAGUAUUCUGGCGGGCAUGCCUGUUCGAGCGUCAUUUCAACCCUCAAGCCCAGCUUGGUGUUGGGACUCGCGAGUCAAAUCGCGUUCCCCAAAUUGAUUGGCGGUCACGUCGAGCUUCCAUAGCGUAGUAGUAAAACCCUCGUUACUGGUAAUCGUCGCGGCCACGCCGUUAAACCCCAACUUCUGAAUGUUGACCUCGGAUCAGGUAGGAAUACCCGCUGAACUUAAG